AUUGGCGGUAACGUUACCUUCGUUAUUCAAGAUUGAUUGCGGCUGUACACGCAAUAACUGUUCGUGUUAGGAGAAUCACUGCCCCGCUAUUUUAGUGCGUGCGCGCGCGCGCGCGUGUGUGUGUUCAAGGGUAAUGUAGUGGGGGUUUUUUUUGUAAUUGUAUUUUCUUGUUUUUUCUUGUUGUUGUUUAAGUUUAGUUGAUGGACAUCUUUCAUGAUUAUUUUGUUUGUUUUAUUUAGUAUUGAUAUUUUUCUUUAUGAAUUGUGUAUUUAAUGAUUUCAGUGUAUAUUUUGUUUUGUUAGUUCUGCCUUUUGUUACGAGUUGAGGGUCCAAGAGCAAGGGGGGUUAUUUUGUGACGUGCUGUGUAUGUGCACUGUGGCCUGUUGCACAAAGGUGGAUUGGUUUUUAAGCGGGGUUUGUUGCUAUGGUAACUAACGCUACACGGCUAACCUGCUCCGGAGCAGUGGCCUGUUGCACAAAGCCGUUUCAGUUUCUACCCAGGUAAGUUCAAGAUUAGUUUGAGUAAACUCUGGUCUUUCGGGUUUAUGAAGGUGGAUUGGUUUUUAGUGGUUUCAUUGCUAUGGUAACUUAUGCUAAGGCUAACCUGCUCUGGAGCAGGUUUUAUUCUGGGUUAGAGAUCGCAAACCCAAACUGGACCAAUCAGCUGUGAGUAAUGUGACACGUAGCUAUCUGAUGCAAUAAAGCCACUCCCCCUGUAUCUCUCGCUCCAAAUUAAAGCAGUUUAUAGUGAAAACAUUUUAGAGACAAAAUUGCUCAUCUUUUGCUGCUAAUUAUUUAUUAUAUUUAUAUUAUAUGAAUUAAUUAUGUAUAAUUCAUAUAAUAGUAUAUUCAUAUAAUUAUUAUAUUACUUGACAAUUAAUAUUUAACUUUGCUUUUAAAUUGAUAUAAAUAUAAUGCAUGCAUCGAUAAAGCUUUUAAACAAAUUAUGCUUGUGUAUUCAUUUGAGCUAUUUGUGAACCUAAUAUAAAUUAUUAUAUUUUAAAUUAUUAGGCAUAUUUCUUUGAUUCACAUGCAUUGAUGUAGUCAGAUAUUUUCUUUCAGCUGCCUUCUCAAACUUUCUCUGCAUCAGUGUUUAUUUCUGCUUUGUAAAUGCGUUUAAUUUCAUAUUUUUCAUAGCGAUCUCCUAAUCUUUAGAAGAGAAGUGAAUUGCGCGGCUCUCUUGCGAGAAGUGAAUCAAACGGACGCUCUGCAUGUUUUGUGUGAUUGGCUGUUUGCCGCACGUGUCACACUUUCAGGUGCACGCGCUUUGUAAACUCUGGAUUAAACCUGAGUUGACAGAGAAAGUUUAUACCGAGCGUUGUGCAACAGUUGAACCUGAUUUAAACCAGGUUGGAUUUAUCUGGAUUUGUCAACUGCAAACCUACUCUGAAACUCAGAGUUUGUUCAACUAGCUUCAUGCAACAGGCCACUGGUGUGUGAUGAUUUGAUUGGGUUAUUUAUUUAUUUUUCUUUUACUUAAUGAGUGUGCUGGUCUUUGAGUCUCCCCCUGCUGGUCACCCUCAGUCCUAGAGUGAAUUGUUUUUGUUUUGUGAUGCAUAAAUGUUGGUUUUUUUUGUUUUUGUUUUUGUUUUGUUUUGUAUACGUGAAGUGUUUAAGGAAAUUGUACUAGUCAGUGCUGAACUAAUCUUUUAAAUGCAUUAAUUUUGUUUCUUUGUUUCAGAGGAGUGUUUUGGAUUAUUAACUCUGUUUUUGUCAUUAAAUAAAAAUGUUUAUUUUUU